AAUAAAGGAUACUGUCCCUGCCCUUCUAUAUCUAAUUCAUGAUAUUAACAGAACUGUCAAUAUUCUGGAUGCAACAGAAACCUGACUUGCCAGCUGGAUCAUUGGCAAAGGAGUCAGAAUAAGUGGGUAAUGCAACUACACACACGGAGACAAUUUUGAUGAAGCCUCCAUGGAAUACUUUGCUGAGUCUGGGGCAUGUGGAUUAACAAGAAAACUCUAGAUUAAAGAACUGCCAGAAGAUCAUUCCCCAGGACACUGGACUAUAUCAGA
rnacentral:lncRNA from 1 species